UACUCAACAUUUCCUGCAACACCAUUCCUUGCUUCCUUCCACCGCUGAAUUAUUGAUGUAAAAUAUAUUUCAGAUCUUUACCAGAACACCAGCUUGACACGACAAUUAUGGAUAAUCUUCAAAUUAAAUAUGAAAUAGUUGAGAAUGGAACAAAGCGGGGUAAAGCAAAAUUAGUAACUUCUGAUGGAUUUUCUUUCACAAUAAAGAGAUCGUCACCUGUCUCUACGUAUUGGGUUUGUUCCAGAAAGAGUAAAAGUAUUCCGUGUUCGGCCACAGUGACACAACGUGGGACUGAUUUCAAUCCAAAUGAUAACCAUAUUCAUGACUGUGACCCCGGCAUUAUGAAAAAUACUAAACUUACGGCAAAGAUCAAAUCUGCUGCACUUGACCAACUCUUUAGACCUGCUCUGCAAAUUGCUAAAAUGGAAAUUAAAGAAUCCCACCAACGGACUGAUGUGCGAGUACCCAAUCCCAUGUUGUUAAAAAGAGUGGUGAAUAGAUACAGAGAAAAACAUCGCCCCACAGAACCAUCCCCCACAUAUUAUGUUUGAGGAUGGCAAAGACGUCUGAAUUCGAGGUCUAUGGGAGCUGGUAUCAGUUUUUACACAUUGAUUUCAAUAUUAAAAGAAGAAAUGGCAGAUAGUUGAAGAGGGGUUCAAUUUCCAAAAUUGUAGAAAAACAUACUGUAAAAUAAAUGAAAAGAUAUUUAAUGCAUGGGAAAGAUAUUCGAAGGGAUCCAUAACAUCAAGUGUCUUUCUUAAGUUGGCAGGAAAUUUAUAUGGACGCAGAUGAAAGAUAAACUAUAACACAUACUUAUGGAAGAAAAGUUACUGAAGAGUACUCUCUCAAGUGCAUUGACAUAUUUUUAUUGUUAUUAAUGUAUAAAUAAAAUAUUAAAAAUACCUGUAAUACUUGUUUUUUAAUUUGUCGGAUGGAACGACCUGAAAGUGGGAUGAAACGACCCAUGUAAAUUUGGAAUGAAACAGCCCGAGAUGAACCGGUAGUGUGAUGCAAUGACCUGCUCCCAGACAAAUUGUCCUAUUUCCCGGAUAUGAAUAUGGCGGCAAAUCAAAUUAUCGAGAUGACAUCCAUGUGAUUAAGAGCCUUGACAACGUAAAGAAUCCAUGGAAAUGGAGUUGGUUAGAGAGGGAGGUGGGUGGGAAAGCGUGCACUUUUUCGUUAGAAAAUUAUGUCAACCGAAACAAGGCUACUGCCGGUAUGUUGUAAGGAAAUUUACCAUGGAAGUCGGGGGGUGGAAGUUCCAACAGUGUGUGUGAAACUGUGAAUUAGUUAUUAAAAUUGUGGUGUGUGAAUUGAAUAUACGUCUUUAUUG